rnacentral:rRNA from 1 species
UACGUAGGGUGCUAGCGUUGUCCGGAAUUAUUGGGCGUAAAGAGCUUGUAGGCGGUUUGUCGCGUCUGCCGUGAAAGCCCAGGGCUUAACCCUGGGUCUGCGGUGGGUACGGGCAGACUAGAGUGUGGUAGGGGAGACUGGAAUUCCUGGUGUAGCGGUGAAAUGCGCAGAUAUCAGGAGGAACACCGAUGGCGAAGGCAGGUCUCUGGGCCACUACUGACGCUGAGAAGCGAAAGCAUGGGGAGCAAACAGG